rnacentral:rRNA from 1 species
GUGGAUUAGAUACCCUGGUAGUCCACGCCGUAAACGAUGGAUACUCGCUGCCGGCGAUAGAAUGUCGGUGGCUUAGCGAAAGCGUUAAGUAUCCCACCUGGGGAGUACGCCCGCAAGGGUGAAACUCAAAGGAAUUGACGGGGGCCCGCACAAGUGGUGGAGCAUGUGGUUUAAUUCGAUGAUACGCGAGGAACCUUACCUAGGCUAGAAUGCGCGUGACCGCGCCAGAGAUGGCGCUUUCCUUCGGGACACAAAGCAAGGUGCUGCAUGGCCGUCGACAACU